AGGGUUCUGUUUCGCUGGGGUUGGCAUUUUGUACAGCCAAUACAACCGAGAAUGAUGGCCGUCGGAGCUCGGAGUGAAUACAGCGAAUGAUUCCAAUAGGAACCACGGACUCUGAUCUGGGUAAACAGGGAACAGCAUUAGACUCUGGGACCAUCUCAUAAUGUUUGUGUACAUUCCUGUUGUCUUCUACCUCCCAUCCACCGUGUCUCUCUACUGCCUAUAACCAGCCUACAUAAGCGUCUAACUUUGAAAAGCUGCCUGAGGCUGCCGAGAAUCUACCACAAGGAUCACAGCUCUACUGCUCCCAGACUCAUCCCAAGCUGGAGCAGGAGCCAGGCCAGCUGUUCAGGCUCACUCCUGGUCUUUGGUAUGCUCAGGGCAGCGGCUUUUCUCCACCAGCCUCACCAUUUGACUCUUUAUCAUCAUGAAAACUCAGUCAGGUCCUGCAAAUGGCCAAAGUAACAAUAGGCAAAACCUAAGUGUUUUUAUCACGGAGAGAAAUCUCUGCUGCUGGUGAUAGAUCCCAGCAGUAGAUAAGAUUUGGGCUACACCCCACAGGUAGAAAGCCCACCAUUUAGGGAGGAGCUGCUUUGAAUAUGGAUCAAAUAAUUAGAAAACUGACUCCUAGAUCACUAGGCAAGAGUCCACUCAUCUGUCUUAGGCAUCCCACCGUAGAUAUGAACAGGGAGAGAGUAGAAAAGGAGGCUUCUCAAGGCAAACAGUCAUCAUAAAACCCAUUCUUCUUUUUCUGUAAAAGGGAGAGUAUGCAACUCAGCUUCAGAACCUGAAAUCCAACAAUGACAUGUAGCACCAACAGUAAAGUACAAUUGCAGCAGGAAAAAUAUCAGUGGAAAGCAGACGAGAACAAAAUGUUAUUUAGAAUGAGAUUAAAUAGUUCUACAUGUUUGGGUUUCAAAAUAAUAUAUCUGUAAACCUUGAGGUUUUAAAAAUUAUUUUUAUUUUUAAUUGACACAUAAUUGUACGUUUUUAGGGGGUGCAAUGUAAUGUUUUGAUACAUGCAUAGAUUGUGUAAUGAAUGAAUCAGGCAAUUAGUAUAUCCAUCACCUCGAACAUUUAUCAUUUAUUUGUGGUUGCAAUAUAUUAUACCUUGAAUCUUAAGAGCAAAACAAAAUUGGGCCUUUUGUUUUCUUUUAGAAAGUAUUGAGGAAGUAAUAAUAUUUUGGGAACUUUACUAACAAUGGAGACAAUUAAGCAAAUAAUUGUAAAAAUUUUCUUCUGUGAAACAUAUAAUUUUCUGAAGACAAAGGGAAAAAAACAGGGUGCUAGAUGAUGAGGAGAGCAUGAGGUGUCAGACAAAUUUUCUCUUUUGUCUUCUUUUGCCUGUAUAUUUUCCCAGGCUUAAAGAAGUAGUAAAAUUAUGCAUGUAAGAUUGAAUUCAUAUACAUAUUUCAUAAUUAUGAAAUUUAAUUUCCACAGUUAUUUCAGAUGGCAGACAAGGCUGUUUGCUUAAGCUGAGACUCCUUUUAACAAAACUCUUGAAGAAACUAACAAUUUUGUAAGCCAACUUGUUUAUUCUGUGAGUGACUUGGCUGCAAGAGUAGACUAAACUGCCCUUUUAACUAUACUAUUUGUACUCUUACAGAUCUGGGAGUUGCCAUCUCUGAAACCAGAAAAGUGAGAAAGGGAAGUUGAAAGAGACAAAGGAUCUAAAUGUGGUAUCUUUGCAGAUCUCAAAGGUCAGGUGGCAGGUGCAUUUCCAAUGGCUUUAAGGAGGGAAGAUAAGGUGUGGUUUAAUGGUCUACCUGGAAAUUCAAAUUCUAGUCUGUGCAGUGUGAAGAUUAUUUCACAUUAGGUAAAUCACUGAUGAGUCAUGCCCCAGCACAUACUCAGUGGUUUUCCAAUUUCGAUUUUAUUUUGUACUCUUAGAAAGUAAUACUUAUGAAGGAUUUUACAAUUGCUAGGUUCAAUUUUGGGUCAAGGCUUUGAUGUUUGUACUGACACCAAAUACCAAACCUUGGAAAACAGAGAAAGAAGAAAUUGGUGAAUUUUUACUCAAUUCAAGAACUCACCAUUUUUUUUUCAAUUAGUAUAAUAGUUCUAACUGAUUGUUUCAUAAGAAAAAAUAGAAAAUGAAUCAUUAUGAGUCUGAAUGAAUACUUUGUAUCUUAUCUAUUCUAUUAAAACUAAAAGAUGAGCUAAAAAUUUUAGGUAUUAAAAUAUACAUUUUUGUAAUGAAAUUUGUUGUAACACUUCCCUUAAUUUUAAAUUUAAAUGGAGCCCAGCCCACAAGCAUUUGUUUAUAAGCAAUAGAUUGGGCAAUAGUUUUUGGGAUAAUUCAUUUUAUAAUCUGAGAUUGUUAAUGCUACCUCUAUUUUCUACCUCCACAUUUCUAAUGUGUUACUAUUAAUUUAGAUAUAAUAGAUUUGUUUCUGUAAUUUCUUUAUGGUCAAUCAUAUACUGAGCAACAAUAAUUUUGAAAGCAGCUGUGUGGAAAUGGGGAGAUAACAGUGAAUUUAUGUGAAUAAUACUGGUUUCUUAAAGGAGAUUUUGAUCUCAUUGGAAAGAUGUGCCAUAUACAGUAAUCUCAGGGAUCAAUUAAUUAAAUGGGUCUGAAAGCAGAGGUUCCUGAAAAUGGGUAGAGAAUGGAGGAUAUGAGUUACAAAAAUCCUAUGUUGAAUCCUGGAACUAAUGACUUGGAGAACUCUUUAUACUUUUUCAUGACAGUGUUGUCAAUGCAAACAAGAUGGGAGAAUACACAAUAAUUGCCAGAAUAGAUUGUAUUAGUCUCACACUGCUAAUAAAGUUU
ensembl:lncRNA PKIA-AS1 PKIA antisense RNA 1